AGGGGUAUAGCUCAGUGGUAGAACACAUGGUUGGUGUGCAGGGGGUCCUGGGUUCAAUUUCCAGUACCCCCA
rnacentral:tRNA from 1 species